rnacentral:rRNA from 1 species
GACGAACGCUGGCGGCGUGCCUAAUACAUGCAAGUAGAACGCUGAAGCUUGGUGCUUGCACCGAGCGGAUGAGUUGCGAACGGGUGAGUAACGCGUAGGUAACCUGCCUGGUGGCGGGGGAUAACUAUUGGAAACGAUAGCUAAUACCGCAUAAGAGUAGAUGUUGCAUGACAUUUGCUUAAAAGGUGCAAUUGCAUCACUACCAGAUGGACCUGCGUUGUAUUAGCUAGUUGGUGAGGUAACGGCUCACCAAGGCAACGAUACAUAGCCGACCUGAGAGGGUGAUCGGCCACACUGGGACUGAGACACGGCCCAGACUCCUACGGGAGGCAGCAGUAGGGAAUCUUCGGCAAUGGACGGAAGUCUGACCGAGCAACGCCGCGUGAGUGAAGAAGGUUUUCGGAUCGUAAAGCUCUGUUGUAAGGGAAGAACGAGUGUGAGAGUGGAAAGUUCACACUGUGACGGUAUCUUACCAGAAAGGGACGGCUAACUACGUG